AGAACGUCCCGCGCCGAAGCGAAGCGCUCCAGACGGGCGCGCCUUUGCCGGCUGCUGGGUUUCCUGCAGUGAGAACUUAAGUGUGGUGUAGUUUUGAAAGCAACAUUUACCUCUAAGGAUGCUGUGAGAUCAAUCAGACGUUCUCUUCUCAUCUCCUUGCUGCCUGCAGCUUGACAGCCUCUCUGUCCUCCUCUGCCUCUCCUUUUCCUCCCAACCCCAUCCACUCCUCUUCCUUUUCUCUUCAGAGAAAACCAGCCCUGGAAUAUGACAGUGGUGACUUUUGAACAACAUUGUGACUGUCAUCAGUCCUUUCUACCCAAGGCUUCUCAACCAAUAUUUUUAGAACAACUCGCAGCUAUCCUGCAUACAUGUGGAUAUUUUUCUGGCUGUCUAUUCUCUAAACAAAUUGGCAUCAAUUCUGCUAUUUACCUAUAUACUAUAUGAGGCUAAUUAAUUAAUUAAUCUAUAGAUCAAACAAAAUUUGGUUCUCAGUUUAAAAUGGUUCGACUCUGGAUUUUUCGACUUCAUGAUAGUGUGAAAAAUGGCAUUCAUUCAGCAGAUAUCACCCUGGAGGGAGUUUCAAUAUUUCUCCAAGCUAGUCAUAUUUGGUGUGAUUCCCUCUUGUAACAGCAGUGACCUGGACAUCCAGUCAGGCACAGGACCUGGGGGACAGCAGUUUCCUUUUAUUUUGGAGGGAAACACGUUAAGUCAUGGGAGAUUAAAAAGGAGGUGUAGUAAGAGGCUGUUCAAAGUGGAGGUGAAGCAUUUUGUGUUCAGGGAAGCUUGUUAAACUCUGGGAGUAAACAACCCAAGGACUUCAAGAAAUGGAGUGGAAGUUUCUGGUUGGGUCAAGUGAUGCAGACUCAAAUGGUGAGGCCAACUCUCCUGGUGUUUUCCUGAGGCCAUGUGAUGUUUGAAGAAACUAUAAAUAGGACUCAACCGGACAGUGACUGUGCGCUUGCACAGCUAGCCUUGCAAGGCUUCGUUGGUUUCCCAUCUUCAUCUUUGCCUUCGCUGAUCUUCACUUCGUUGAGCGAGGCCCAGCAAGGAAGUUCCUGAAAAGAACUGGAUUCACCAGGUCUCUCCCUCACUACACCUAUGUAAGUGGUAAUGAUUGCUGAAGACACUCUCAGGUGUGCAGAAUGUCCUAGAAGACCCUAGACCAGAGGAUCAGCGUGGAGGAGACAGAGACUGGCUCAACUGUAUAGAAGAAACAAAGACCAGCCUAGGUACCUGGAAGAGGUUCGGAUCCACUGAGCCACCUGCAAAGGUCCUGUUGAGUUGCCCACAGUUGUGCCGUGAGCUCCAGGUCUCCAGGUCUUGCAAGCUGUCAACCAUGAUGGGGUAGCCUUUGGUCAUACAGCUCUCUGUAAGUCAUUUUUCCCCUCCCCCAUAUUCCUGUAAGUAGUCCCCACAAAGAUUAAUUGAUUG